rnacentral:rRNA from 1 species
CGAACGCUGGCGGCGUGCCUAAUACAUGCAAGUCGAACGAAACUUUCUUACACCGAAUGCUUGCAUUCACCGUAAGAAGUUGAGUGGCGGACGGGUGAGUAACACGUGGGUAACCUGCCUAAAAGAAGGGGAUAACACUUGGAAACAGGUGCUAAUACCGUAUAUCUCUAAGGAUCGCAUGAUCCUUAGAUGAAAGAUGGUUCUGCUAUCGCUUUUAGAUGGACCCGCGGCGUAUUAACUAGUUGGUGGGGUAACGGCCUACCAAGGUGAUGAUACGUAGCCGAACUGAGAGGUUGAUCGGCCACAUUGGGACUGAGACACGGCCCAAACUCCUACGGGAGGCAGCAGUAGGGAAUCUUCCACAAUGGACGCAAGUCUGAUGGAGCAACGCCGCGUGAGUGAAGAAGGUCUUCGGAUCGUAAAACUCUGUUGUUAGAGAAGAACACGAGUGAGAGUAACUGUUCAUUCGAUGGCGGUAUCUAACCAGCAAGUCACGGCUAACUACGUGCC